rnacentral:rRNA from 1 species
ACUUAAAUUGAAGAGUUUGAUCAUGGCUCAGAUUGAACGCUGGCGGCAGGCCUAACACAUGCAAGUCGAGCGGUAGCACAGAGAGCUUGCUCUCGGGUGACGAGCGGCGGACGGGUGAGUAAUGUCUGGGAAACUGCCUGAUGGAGGGGGAUAACUACUGGAAACGGUAGCUAAUACCGCAUAACGUCGCAAGA